AUUGAACGCUGGCGGCAGGCCUAACACAUGCAAGUCGAACGAGUGGCGGACGGGUGAGUAAUUUCUGGGAAACUGCCUGAUGGAGGGGGAUAACUACUGGAAACAGUAGCUAAUACCGCAUACCAUCGGAUGUGCCCAGUUGGGAUUAGCUAGUAGGUGGGGUAACGGCUCACCUAGGCGAGGAUCCCUAGCUGGUCCGAGAGGAUGACCAGCCACACUGGAACUGAGACACGGCCCAGACUCCUACGGGAGGCAGCAGUGGGGAAUAGGGCACAAUGGGCGCAAGCCUGACGCAGCCAUGCCGCGUGUAUGAAGAAGGCCUUCGGGUUUGAAAGUACUUUCAGUGGGGAGGCGUUACCCGCAGAAGAAGCACCGGCUAACGCCGUGCCAGCAGCAGCGGUAAUUC
rnacentral:rRNA from 1 species